UCACCAUGACUUGCCUACUGUACCUCAUGCACUUUCAGCAGUAUAUGGGGAAAGAGAUCAGCAGAGUUGCGUAAGAGAAGCUCUUCGCUAUGGUAAUGUCAAGGUGGGCUUUUCCUUACAAAUCAAAAUAAUUUUGUCCUGUUAAGUAAUGGACAAGAGCCACCCUUUCUCAUUAACUCCAUUAAUAUUUGCUAGUUCUACAACAUAAUCUUUUUUUCCCCCCUGUUGUUGAUUUUUUGCACUCUUAGGAUCCUGCUCUGCUACCAGACUCUUCAUCAGUAGUAAUAAGAAAUUAAUCUACAAACUGGAUACCUAAAUAAAUUUGCUUGACCAUUCUCACCUACUAUUGAUCUAGGAUAUUUGUGUAUAUCUAUGUAUUAAUAUAGUUCUUAAAAUAGCAAUACUUUGGGAAAAAAAGAAAAGUCUAUUUCGAGUACUAACAUGGAACCCUAGGUAAGAUAGAGAUUUAAAUAUCCCUUAAAAUCUCAUUGCCAAGAGUCUUGAAAGAUCAUCUUACAGUGUUUAGCACACUUUAAGUAAAAGUGUUAAAACGUUGCUCAGAUCAUACUCAAGACUGGGUAGGAGACUGCAUUAAAAUCUUUGUUUGUGUUCAGAUUUUUAGCAUAUUUUUGGAUUAUUUUCCUUGCUCCUUGAUCCAGCAGCUGCAGUAAUAAAUUCCGGAUUGUUUGGCAAAAUCCUUUCAUUCAUCUAAGAGAUACCUGAAGUUAACCAAAUUUGUUCCUUUUCUCAGUUCAGUGCCUUUGCAAACCAUACUUAAAUCAUCAACAAUUAAUAGAUAUGUCCAUAUCCAGUACUCAUUAUUGGGAAUGGGGAACUCAUCGGGAGUCCAGAGACUGAAAUCAUCCUCCCCCUAACCCCAAGGUUUAGGCAACAGAAUCAUGUUUACUCCUUGGGUAGGUAAUACAAAAGUUAAAUGCUUAUUUUUUGAAUAAUUUGCACAAAGCUUAAUACUGACAUUUUGAAAAUAGUUUCCUAUUUUAAUGAACAUUUCCUGAACAUCUGGUAGUGCUAUUAUGACAUUAAAAACUGACUUUUUCCUGUCCUUAAUUUAAGAAUGUUUUUUUCUUCUAUGCCAGAUGCUGAAAAUUAUGUUAAAAAAUAAAUAAUAGUCUAGCCAUGGGUAAAAGGAAAAA
rnacentral:lncRNA from 1 species